rnacentral:lncRNA from 10 species
GGAAGAUAUGGUUAAAAAACGAAUAACUGGUAACAUCUUUAUAACAAAGUAGUCUACUCAGCCAUUAAGAGAUUUGUUCAGAAUGAUACAAAUUUGUAUUUUAACACACAGUGAGCAGAUCUAAUACAUUCCCUUAGGCAGCUAAUCAUGGACUCACUCUACUGUAAAGCCUGCUUAGCUGUCACACAAUGAACUGCGAUCACUGCCUUUCCCAGACAGCAUGGGUCAUGUCGCUGAGGCCUCCUCACAGCACGGCAGAAAUCAUCAAACCAAUAAACAAAUGCAGAGAAGAGCAUAAUGAAUCCCAUGUACCCAUCAACAAGCUUCAACAAAUAGCAACAGUUUUCCCAUUUUGUUUUAUUAAUAUUUAUCCUUUCUCCACUACCUCCAAUUUUUUCCUGAAACAUCUCAGGUAAAUCUCAGCCAUCAUAUUAUUUCACCAUAGUACUUUACUAUGUAUUUCUAACAGGUAAAAUAUUUUAAAAAUAAGAAGAUUUUACCAUUAUCAUAUUUAAAAAUAAUAAUCUUUUAUAAUAUUCUGUUCUUUCUUUUCUUUGUCCUAAAAUGUGUGGGGUUUUUUCUCUUACCUUAGGUUUGUUUGAAUUAAUAUCCAAAGUCCAUAUGAUUGAUAUGUCUCUUAAGACUCUUUCCAUCUAUAAUGGUUACAAUAGUUACAUUUCCCUUCCUUCUUUUAGAAAAUUGAUUUACUAAAGAAAUGAGGUUUUAAUUCUGUAGAAUUUCCCACAGUAUGGAUUUGGCUGAUUACAUACUCAGAAUAUCAUUCCACACGUUCUCUAGUCUGACAAUUUCCUGUAAUCUCAAUAGAACUAGAUUCUUGAUUAGAUUCAGAUUCAAUUAUUUUGUGUGCAAUAUUUGAUAGGUAAGGCUGAAUACUUCCUAUUUUAUCAUACCAAGAGGCAAGCAUGACUGGAUGAUCCCUGGAUUUCAAUCUUGUCAGUUGAUAUAUCCACUAUAAAUUUUUCUUGACAUCUACUCACUUUAGCAUCCAUCAGUGAUCAACUUUUUAGGAGUUGCAUAAGGGUUCUUUUCUAAUUCAAUUAUUCCUUCUGUAUUUCUUAGCUAAAACUCUUUUGUAAAGACU